UUUAUGGAGAGUUUGAUCCUGGCUCAGAGUGAACGCUGGCGGCGUGCCUAAUACAUGCAAGUCGAACGAUGAAGCUUCUAGCUUGCUAGAAGUGGAUUAGUGGCGCACGGGUGAGUAACGCAUAGAUAACAUGCCCUUUAGUCUAGGAUAGCCACUGGAAACGGUGAUUAAUACUGGAUACUCCCUACGGGGGAAAGUUUUUCGCUAAAGGAUUGGUCUAUGUCCUAUCAGCUUGUUGGUGAGGUAAUGGCUCACCAAGGCUAUGACGGGUAUCCGGCCUGAGAGGGUGAACGGACACACUGGAACUGAGACACGGUCCAGACUCCUACGGGAGGCAGCAGUAGGGAAUAUUGCUCAAUGGGGGAAACCCUGAAGCAGCAACGCCGCGUGGAGGAUGAAGGUUUUAGGAUUGUAAACUCCUUUUGUUAGAGAAGAUUAUGACGGUAUCUAACGAAUAAGCACCGGCUAACUCCGUGCCAGCAGCCGCGGUAAUACGGAGGGUGCAAGCGUUACUCGGAAUCACUGGGCGUAAAGAGUGCGCAGGCGGGGUAGCAAGUCAGAUGUGAAAUCCUAUGGCUUAACCAUAGAACUGCAUUUGAAACUGUUACUCUAGAGUAUGGGAGAGGUAGGUGGAAUUCUUGGUGUAGGGGUAAAAUCCGUAGAGAUCAAGAGGAAUACUCAUUGCGAAGGCGACCUACUGGAACAUUACUGACGCUCAUGCACGAAAGCGUGGGGAGCAAACAGGAUUAGAUACCCUGGUAGUCCACGCCCUAAACGAUGAAUGCUAGUUGUUGCCCUGCUUGUCAGGGCAGUAAUGCAGCUAACGCAUUAAGCAUUCCGCCUGGGGAGUACGGUCGCAAGAUUAAAACUCAAAGGAAUAGACGGGGACCCGCACAAGCGGUGGAGCAUGUGGUUUAAUUCGAAGAUACGCGAAGAACCUUACCUAGGCUUGACAUUGAUAGAAUCUACUAGAGAUAGUGGAGUGCCCUUUUAGGGAGCUUGAAAACAGGUGCUGCACGGCUGUCGUCAGCUCGUGUCGUGAGAUGUUGGGUUAAGUCCCGCAACGAGCGCAACCCUCGUCCUUAGUUGCUAGCAGUUUGGCUGAGCACUCUAAGGAGACUGCCUUCGUAAGGAGGAGGAAGGUGAGGACGACGUCAAGUCAUCAUGGCCCUUACGCCUAGGGCUACACACGUGCUACAAUGGGAUGCACAAAGAGAUGCAAUAUCGCAAGGUGGAGCUAAUCUCAAAAACAUCUCUCAGUUCGGAUUGUAGUCUGCAACUCGACUACAUGAAGCUGGAAUCGCUAGUAAUCGUGAAUCAGCCAUGUCACGGUGAAUACGUUCCCGGGUCUUGUACUCACCGCCCGUCACACCAUGGGAGUUGUAUUCGCCUUAAGUCGGGAUACUAAAUUGGUUACCGCCCACGGCGGAUGCAGCGACUGGGGUGAAGUCGUAACAAGGUAACCGUAGGUGAACCUGCGGUUGGAUCACCUCCUUUCUA
rnacentral:rRNA from 2 species